AGAGCGAACGCUGGCGGCAGGCUUAACACAUGCAAGUCGAGCGCCCCGCAAGGGGAGCGGCAGACGGGAGAGUAACACGUGGGAACGUACCCUUUGGUUCGGAACAACCCAGGGAAACUUGGGCUAAUACCGGAUAAGUCCGUAAGGAGAAAGAUUUAUCGCCAAUGGAUCGGCCCGCGUCUGAUUAGCUAGUUGGUGAGGUAAUGGCUCACCAAGGCGACGAUCAGUAGCUGGUCUGAGAGGAUGAUCAGCCUCACUGGGACUGAGACACGGCCCAGACUCCUACGGGAGGCAGCAGUGGGGAAUAUUGGACAAUGGGCGCAAGCCUGAUCCAGCCAUGCCGCGUGGGUGAUGAAGGCCCUAGGGUUGUAAAGCCCUUUCGGCGGGGAAGAUAAUGACGGUACCCGCAGAAGAAGCCCCGGCUAACUCGUGCCAGCAGCCGC
rnacentral:rRNA from 1 species